CUCACCCAAAUGGCAUGCCAUGCUAGAUCUGGUUCGACUAAGUUGCUCUGGAAGCAGGAGUACACUGGGACUCAGAAGCUUCUUUUUGCCUCUUUGUCAUGUCUGACCCAGAGCUAUGAUGACUGACCAUUAGUACAUGUGGGCACAGGCUGCUGUAUCUGGAGAGGUGAGCACAGACAUCCUACAAGACAGAACUGGCAUUGUAUAGGAAAACAAGUUUUAUGCAGAUAAAAAUGAAUGAGGCAACCUGUGAGCCUGAACUUGGAAGAGACCACACUGUUCACAGUCUCUGUGGUAAGGUGAUAAGCUAUUACAUGUACCACCACUGUGACUGAGAAAACCUGAGAGCUUCAGUUCAACUUCUGGUUAAUUCACUAUGGAUGUGAAAGACGCCGAAAUGAUGGUGUGAUUGCAGAAGCCAUGACAAGCUGUUUUUCACCAAGUUACUCCUGCUGUAUUUUGCUGGAGAAGAACCGGAGAGCCAGCCCACCAGCCUGUGUACCUUACUCCAGGCUACAGAGCCAGGAUGCAUCACUGUGAGGAAUCAGACCCAACCAAGAAUUCUGACUCUCAGUCUUGACAGUCCUGAGGCCUCUCUAACUUCUUUACAGCUUUCUAGUGUGUGUUCUCUUUAUUCAUUUUGUUUAUUUCACUGAGAAAAGUACAGUUUACAGUCAUAGACUCUCCAAAGAUGUCAGAUGACAUCUGAAAUUACAAUAAUAGUCCAUAGAACUCUUAAGCAGGAUGGUGUAUUAUUGAAAACAGAAAAUAAUAAACAGCACUGUAAUCACUGGCACAUUUUAAACAA